rnacentral:tRNA from 1 species
AGAAAAUUAGUUUAAAAAAAACAAUAAUUUGUCAAAUUAUAAAUAAAAUCUAAGUUUUAUUUUCUA